rnacentral:rRNA from 1 species
UACAGAGGGUGCAAGCGUUGUUCGGAAUUAUUGGGCGUAAAGGGCGCGUAGGCGGUUCGGCAAGUCUCUAGUGAAAUCUCUGGGCUCAACUCAGAGUCUGCUGGGGAAACUGCCGGGCUUGAGUGUGGGAGAGGGUAGUGGAAUUCCCGGUGUAGCAGUGAAAUGCGUAGAGAUCGGGGAGGAACAUCCGUGGCGAAGGCGACUACCUGGACCAGCACUGACACUGAGGCACGAAAGCGUGGGGAGCAAACAGG